UAAUACGUCUUCCUUGUCCAUGGCCGAGGGUGAUACUUGGCGGUGAGGUCAGAGGUCAACAUUUCAACAAGAGUCACCCAGGGCGGCACGGUGCUGGGUGAGCAGUGACCUGACCACCCUCCCCUUGCCACAGGAACCCAAGGAGUAUGGCUUGAUCCUGCCCAGCAAGAACAAGAACAAGGUUGGGGGAGAGCUAGGCACGCGGAAACUCAACCCUCUGCUGGACUCAGAUGACGAGCUGGACCAGGAUGAAGAGUACCCCCUUGACUGGGUGGAGGCAUCCCUCAAGCCGGGAGCUCAGGUCAGCAGAGUCUACAGAAGCGGCUGCUGCGCGAGGCUCUGCAGGAGGACGCGUCAGUGUUCCAGCGUGACGAGGCGUACGACAGCAUGCAG